AGUGAACGCUGGCGGUAGGCCUAACACAUGCAAGUCGAACGGCAGCACAGGAGAGCUUGCUCUCUGGGUGGCGAGUGGCGGACGGGUGAGGAAUACAUCGGAAUCUACCUUUUCGUGGGGGAUAACGUAGGGAAACUUACGCUAAUACCGCAUACGACCUUCGGGUGAAAGCAGGGGACCUUCGGGCCUUUCGCGGAUAGAUGAGCCGAUGUCGGAUUAGCUAGUUGGCGGGGUAAAGGCCCACCAAGGCGACGAUCCGUAGCUGGUCUGAGAGGAUGAUCAGCCACACUGGAACUGAGACACGGUCCAGACUCCUACGGGAGGCAGCAGUGGGGAAUAUUGGACAAUGGGCGCAAGCCUGAUCCAGCCAUACCGCGUGGGUGAAGAAGGCCUUCGGGUUGUAAAGCCCUUUUGUUGGGAAAGAAAAGCAACCAGUUAAUACCUGGUUGUUCUGACGGUACCCAAAGAAUAGGCACCGGCUAACUUCGUGCCAGCCGCCGCAGUAA
rnacentral:rRNA from 1 species